UUACAAAAGGAUUCUGGAAUCUUGACCAGUUUAUGUUCAGGGUUCCCAACAGUUUUGCUUGUGUUUUUUUUCCCUUUUCAUGACCCAUCCUAUGUUUUCAAUUAGCACCUCAUGUUAAUUGGAUCCGUUCCCUGAGGGUAGUAGGUGGUGUCUCACUUUCUCCCAUCAUUGGUGAUAUAUUUGAAACAUGACAUUUAUGACUUGAGUCCAGGGCCGUUAGAAAAAGUCAUUUACUCCGGGUCACUGCUAAAGCUAGCCACAGUAGCCGACUGAACACACUUGUUUGAUGUGGUUGUUAUCAGUAACACCCUUUGCUACUUCAUUCCAAUCAUUAAAUAAUUUGCAAAAGCUGGCAAAGAACAAGGUUACAUUUAUGAAAUGUGCAGCAAGAAACUGCAGAUGCCGGUUUAAACCGAAGAUAGACACAAAAAGCUGGAGUAACUCAGCGGAACAGGCAGCAUCUCUGGAGAGAAGGAAUGGGUGACGUUUCCAGGUCGAGACCCUUCUUCAGACUGACCUUUAUAAAGACUGAAGUAGCCGGCCCUUCCUCAUCCCCUGAAGACCAGAGACCGGGAGGAUGGAGCCGGCAACGAGAAGCAAGGCCGGUAGGAGAGUGAACCGGGGUCUGGCUUACCGCUCCCUCAAGGUCAGCUGCGGGAGGCACCCCUGGGGCACAAAGGUGGACGGGCAAGGAGAGGGGCGUGGGUACACUGGACGUUCCAAGGAAGGUGAAGGCUGGAGGCCCUGCAGCAGCCUGGGCCUUGCCUGGAUAGGACAAUGCCCAUUGGAACCUGGAGCGCGGACUGGUCUUUGAAAAUGGCGUCAAACAUGGCGCCUCUUGCAUGCGGGCUCAGUGGGCUAUUUCGGUACCCUUUGCUAAUCGGUGAUUGUGCUUAGGCAUGGCAAUACUUCACUAGGACUGUAUGUAAGUAAAGAAUUUCACUGUGCGUUUGCACAUGUGACAAUAAAAACAUAAUUGAACCAUUGAACCAGUGAACCAUCAAAGGAGUUCCCACGUAUUAAUAUAAUUCUGCUUCAUUACCCCCACAGCAACCUAUAAUGGGGCAUUUGCCCAGAUGUGUUUUAUAAUCCUAUUUGACACAUACCAGGAUCUCACACUAUUGCAGAGCCGAAUUUUAUUCAUUUGUGGCACAGAAGUGCUUUAUUUUAAAGGAAAAAAGCAGCCCAAGAAGAAAGACCCUGCUUGUGUUCAUCCUGUCCAUUCAUAAUUAUAAAAUGGCCACCAAGGUUGUAGAAACGCAUCAAAUAAUCAGCCCAUACAAUUUUGAUGGAACAUUUUCCCACUCAUUUUCCCACUUAAAAAUAUCAAUUUAACUCACAUAGGUGUACAGAUAAUCCUUCAAGUAAAAAACGUCUAUCAGAAGAUUAACUAUAUUCUCUUUCAUUUACAGAUAUGGACCACAAUGGCAACAGCAAAGCAUUUCAAAGUUAAAGGAUAUAUAAGAGAUUUUUUUUCUCACUUUGAUUCAUUCUCUGUGGAUUUAGCCCUUUGGUAAUAUUGUAUAGUGGAGGACAAUCUAUUUUUGUUGCAAAUAUAUUAUUUUCAUUCCUCCAUUUGGAUGUAUCCAGACCGAAAAAAAAAUGUUGCAUUAGUAAGUUGCACUAGUGUAUCGCUGAAAGGCCGAGACUAGGAUUCAAUGCUGUUAAGAUUUGUUUGAAAUGGUUUCCGAGUGUUGUACUUAA